CUUCCACCGGACCUCACUAAGUUCCUGGUGCAGUCCUACCAGCCACAGACCUCUGAAAUGGUUUUCCCAGGAAGGGGAAGGAUCCGUGUCGAUGCUGACAGUGUUCAGAGGGUAUUUGAUCUCCCAAACAGGGGUCAAAAAGUCAGAUAUUUAGUUGACAAGGAUGCCACUAGGAGAUUCAGACAGGCUUUCAACAUAACUGGAAAUUCUCAUCCCCAGAUCACUACAUGGCUCAAGAUGAUUCAGGAUAUGGCUGGAAGAACGGAUGACACAUUCUUUAUGGCCUGGCUUGCGGUUGCCUUCAGCACUUUUCUAGCACCAACCACGGCCUUGAAGCUCAGCCCAAAGUGUUACGGACUUGUGCUAGAUCAUCAAAUGCUCAAGAACACAAACAUUUGUCUCUUUGUAGCAGAACACAUUAAUGAAGCUUUCCGGAACAUGGACCAGGAGAAGCAAACUGUCUGCUGCUGCUUGUAUCACUUGAUGGUUAGUGAAAACGACCACUUCCAUCUGUUCUUGUUCUUCUGUGCAGUUAUAGUUUGCUGA
rnacentral:rRNA from 1 species